AGUAAACUCCUCUCAAGUAAACACGCUCGCGGCAGGGAUGCAUCUGGCCUUGAGUGGCAAGGGACAGAGCCAAGCCAGCACCGUGCCAGCAAAGAUAAUGGAGCCAGGACGACAGGGCACAGAAGUAAUGUGGAGUCAGGCUGAAGAACCAAUAAAGCAAAUGUGCAGCAACGAUUUGCCACCUUAAUUCCACUCCUGGUUCUGCUUUCAUCCUGUCAUCCUGUGGAAGAACAAAACUAAUGACACAGCUACUGUCACCAAAACUGGAGUUGCAGCCUCAGCCCAGGCUGCCAACCAGCUCUCUCCCAUGGAGAGCUGAGAAACCCUGUCUUGAAUUAGGACAAGAUAUUAAAAUACUUUGUCAUAG